AGGAAGUGGACAAAGCUGGGAGAAAUUCUGGGAUUAAUUUUUGUAUCUCACAAUCAAAACCAAAGACUUUUCUGUUAAGAAGAAAUGGGGGAAAGGGCGGAGGGAGAAUGACACUUGGUUUAGACAUUGUUUAUUGCAGCAGCACCCAAACAAUUUUUAGCAAUAUUACCAAAGCAUGUAUUGGAUUGUAUUUUCGGUUCUGUCAUGAUUGAUAGUGCAAUUAAAAGGCAGAUGGACUAAAAUCAUCCUAGGCAACGGCUCAGCUGAUUAAGUUGAUAAAGCCCGAAUACCAAGUCAGUGAAAAAUGAGACUGAGAAAGUUAUUAUCACACAACAAUAACACCAUAUUUUCUGAGGACUCAAUGAAUUCCAGUUACUGCUCCAAGCUCUUUACAUGUGUCUGUAUAAACAGAUUGCCCCAAUUAAUGUUCACAAGUUCUCCUAUUCUUUGUCUGAUCAAGUCCCGAUGUUCACUGGUUCCCUCUUCUGCAUGUUCUUCUCUCUCGGGUUUGCAGAGUUCAUUCCUGUUCAUCCUUCAGAACUUAACUCAAAUGCCACUUCCUUUCCCAACCUUUUUAAUCAGGUAAAAUCCCGCUAUUAUAGGCAUUCAAAGCUAUGUAGUUUUAAUGUUCAUAGCUUAUAAAACAGUUGCAAUAGAAUGUUUUGUAAGAAUAUUAAAGACUUGAGUUAAGAUUAGCAAAGCAUCAAGCAUACUUUGGAUGAGGGAAGUGAAAAAAAUAUUAGUCAUUUGAUGGGUUAAAAGGAUAUAGAUAGAUGAAACUGUUUCAAUAGGAUGGCUGUGGGACCCAGGAAGCUUGCAAGGGCUGUGUCAUCACACACACACAAUGACUUUAUCAAGAGCCCAUCCUGCUUCCCCACUCCUGAGAGACAUCCUCUCCAGCCCCAACUGUGUGCCAUGACUAUCAGGCUCCUCUGCCACAUGGCCUUUUAUUUUCUGGGGGCAGGCCUUAUGGAAGCUGAUAUCUACCAGAACCCAAGACACCGUGUCAUAGAGACAGGAAAGAAGAUCACUCUGGAAUGUUCUCAAACCAUGGGCCAUGACAAAAUGUACUGGUAUCAACAAGAUCCAGGAAUGGAAUUACACCUCAUCCACUAUUCCUAUGGAGUUAAUUCCACAGAGAGGGGAGAUUUUUCCUCUGAGUCAACAGUCUCCAGAAUAAGGAUAGAGCAUUUUCCCCUGACCCUGGAGUCUGCCAGCCCCUCACACACCUCUCAGUACCUCUGUGCCAGCAGUGAAUACACAGUGCUACAUGGAUACCGACACUCUGCACAGAAAGGGUCGCCUCUAAGGUGGGGACAUCUUGCCUUCAGAAACCUCAUCUUAAACUACAGAAACCCCUGCAAAUCGUCCCAGACUCCUCAGCCUUGAGGGACCAGUGUGCUUUAAGUAAUGAUCUGGACUAAAGACUAUCUCUGGCUCAGUCUCUGACAAGCUGAGAAAUGACCCAACCCUGCAGUCAUCCUGGCUGACUUCUUCCUUGCAUCUAGUUGUUGCUGUUCAAUUGAGCUUGCACAAAUUUUAUCCUUCAAGAUAAAUGUGAUGAUAUUUGACAGUUGCCUUAUGGCUAGCUGAAGAAAGUCUUUGUCAGCUAAGAAACAGGAAAAGGAUCCUCUGACUUUCUGCACAGGCUGUCUUUAUCUCUGGUUCAUGGUUCCUUCUUCAUGUUAAACUUGUUCCUUCAUACACAGCCACACAAAGUCCCUGCCCUUCCCUGACCCCAGUCCAGCACCUGAUGACGUUAGUUCCUCAAUCUAUGACUUUGAACUUGGAAUACAUUUUUAUUUUCAUUUGAAAUAAGUGAUUAAUGAUUAUUUUCACUAAUCUCCCUCUAAAUAAAUUUAAUUUUAGCUAAAUCUGCAUGAGGCCUAAGGAAGAGAAAAGCCUCCAAACUUAGCAAAGAGUAGUCUUCAACAGUGUCCCUGCAUUCAGUCCUAAAUCUCUUUGGAGGCUACCCUAACCAUUGGGAGACUAUCCUACAG